CCGUAUCACGUGGAGCGGUGUCAUCCGAUGCGCAACAGAUAGUUUUGCGGCGAGCGUAAACGAUAUACGGAUUUGACCAAACCGGCAGAGUCAAAGAUGCUCAAUGAAAAUGUCGACGUAAACAUGGGCGGGAUGGCUCUGUCGACGAACCGGAGCAAUCCGGUCGCAGAUCGAUUCGGGGCGUCGGACCGACGCGCGAUUAAGGUGGGACCUAAGCCGGGCUUUGUUAUGCCGCAGGGGACUCGACUGCAUUAAUCGUGUCUGCAGCACGCCCUCCGGCGUGCUCGGCAUCGCUGCUCAGAGCGUCGGCAUGUGGCUCCCCAUUCGACCCGUCUUGAAGCACUGACCAAGGAUGUCUGACAUUGUGCGAGGCUCACGGGUGUGUAAACCCGAUAAGGCGCAAGGAAGCUAUGGCUGGAUCCCUCACGGGUGCCAGCCGACCGGCCUUGUUAUUCUGAGAAGGGCUCGAGCUGUGCAGCAUUACUGUCGGGACCCGAACGAUGGUGAACUAUGCCUGAGCGGGGCGAAGCAGACGGAAACUCUGGUGGACGGCCCGCAGCGAUACUACGUGCAAAUCGUUCGUCUCGACUUGGGUAUAGGGGCGAAGACUAAUCGACCAUCUAGUGCUGGGUUCCCUCCGAAGUUUCCCUCAGGAUAGCUGGAGCUCGGAAAGAGUUCUAUCGGUAAAGCAAUGAUUAGAGGCAUCUGGGGACGCAAUGUCCUCGACCAUAUUUCAACUUUAAAUAUGUAGGACGGGGUGGUUGCUUUUUUGAGCCAUCCCACGGAAUCGAGAGCUCAAGGGGGGCAUUUUUGUAAGCAGAACUGGCGAUGCGGAUGAACCGGAAGCCGGGUAUACGGUGCCCCAACUGCGCGCUAACCUAGAACCCCAAAGGGUGUUGGUCGAUUAAGAGCAGAGGGACGGUGGUCAUGGAAAUCGAAAUCCCAAUGAGAGUGUGUAACAACUCACCUGCCAAAUCAACUAGCCCGAAAAUGGAUGCGCGCGAAGCAGGCGAGUCCUAUACCGCCGUUCGGGGCAAGAGCCCAGGCCUCGAAUGAGUAGAGAGGGCAGGCGGGAUCGCUGACAAAACCUAGGGCGCGAGCCGGGCGGGCCGUCGGUGAUCACGAUCUUGGUGGAGUAGUAGCAGAUAUUCAAAUGAGAACUUUGAAGGCGAAGAGGGAAAGGUUCCAUGUGACCAGCUACUGCUUUGCACAUGGGUUGAGCGGACCUAAGAGUCCGAGGGGGAAACCCGUCUGUGAUGCGCUAUUGCGCAAAACCUUCGAAAGGGGAUCCGGUUAAAUUCCGGAACGGGACGUGGCGUUGGGAACGGCACGUUAGGAAGUCUGGAGACGUCGGCGGAAUUCCGGAAAUAGGUUAUCUUUACUGUUUAACAGCCUGCCCACCCUGAAAACGGCUCAGCGGAGUAGGUCCAGCGGCUGGAAGAGCAACCGCACGUCGCAUGGUGUCCGAUGUCAUUCCCGCCGGCCCAUUGAAAAUGCGGAGGACCAGUGCGCUCACCGCUACGUCCGGACGUAACAAUACGCAUUCAUGUCUCCAAGUGAACAGCGUCAUGGUGCGAUGGAUGACAAUAUAGGCAAGGGAAAGAUCGGCAAAAUGGAUGUAACUUCAGAGAAAGAUUGGCGGUCUUGAGUGGACCUGGGCUCGGGUGCCAGUUCCCGCGCGACUGUGGCGGCUGCUUCGAAACUGCAACGUGCAGAGACGCUGGAGCUGUGUGUCGCGGAGACUGGGGAGCAUUUGGAGUUCCCGGCGUCACACAAUCAGAACGUACAAGGGAAUCGACGUUUAAUUAAAACAAAAGCAUUGCGUAGAUGGCCGUAGCGCAGAUGCUAAACGCAGUGUGAUUUCUGCCAGUGCUUCUGAAUGUCAAAGUGAAAAAUUCACACAAGCGCGGGUAAACGGCGGGAGUAACUAUGACUUCUCUUAAGGUACCAAAAUCCUCGUCAUCUAAUGUAGGAAGCCAUGAAUGGAUUUAACUGAGAUUCCCACAUGAUCCCAUGGUCUACUAUUCCACGGAAAGACACAGCCAAGGGAGACACGGGUCUUUGGCACGAAUCGCGGGAAAGAAGGGUGAGUUGAUCACACUUUGAACUUGAGAGGUGUGUGGCUCGGCAGUGAAUACUCUUUUAACGUAUUCCUGAAUCACGGUACUUUGACACUCGCUUGGCGGUCAUCGGGCGGAGGACAUUGUCGGGUUGGGGUGUUUGGCUGGGUGGCACAUUCUGUUAAAAGAUACGCAGGUGUCCUAAGAUUAGCUCAACCGAGAACAGAAUUCUCGUGUGGAACAAAAGGGUAAGAGCGAUUUGAUUCUGAUUUUCAGUACGAAUACGAACCCGUGAAAGCGUGGCCUAGCGAUCCUUUAGACCUUCGGGAUUUUAAGCUAGAGGUGUCAGAAAAGUUGCCAACAGGGAUAACUUGGCUUGUGGACAGCCCAAGCGUUCAUAGGAACGUUGUUUUUAUCCUUCGAUGUCGCUCUUCCUAUCAUAUGUGUCAAGCGAGAUUCCACCAGCGUUGGAUGUGUUGUUCACCGAUCCACACAAGGGAACGUGAGCUGGGGUUGAGACCGUCGUGAGCCAGGUUAGUUUUACCCUACUGAUGCCCGCGUGGCAAUAGUAAUUCAACCUAGUACGAGAGUAACCGUUGAUUCGCACAAUUGGUACUCGCGCUUGGUUGAAAAGCAGUGGCGCGAAGCUACCGUGCGCGUGAUUAUGACUGAACGCCUCAAAGUCAGAAUCUGGGCUAAAAGCGACGCAUGCGCCCGCCGCCCGAAUGCCGACCCUCAGUAGGAGCUUCGGCUCCAAAGGCACGUGUCGUUGGCUAAGUCCGUUCGGUGGAAGCGCUGUUCGGACCGCCUUGAAUUCUAAUUACCACCGACUGGCGGGUAGAAUCCUUUGGAGACGACUUAAAUAAGCGAACGGGGAUUGUAAGUGGCAGAGUGGCCUUGCUGUCAUGAUCCACUGAGAUUCAGCCUUUUGUCGCUAAGAUUCGACCUCCCCCUUUC
rnacentral:rRNA from 1 species